rnacentral:rRNA from 1 species
GCAGUCGAGCGGAUGAGAGAGCUUGCUCUCUGAUUCAGCGGCGGACGGGUGAGUAAUGCCUAGGAAUCUGCCUGGUAGUGGGGGACAACGUCUCGAAAGGGACGCUAAUACCGCAUACGUCCUACGGGAGAAAGCAGGGGACCUUCGGGCCUUGCGCUAUCAGAUGAGCCUAGGUCGGAUUAGCUAGUUGGUGAGGUAAUGGCUCACCAAGGCGACGAUCCGUAACUGGUCUGAGAGGAUGAUCAGUCACACUGGAACUGAGACACGGUCCAGACUCCUACGGGAGGCAGCAGUGGGGAAUAUUGGACAAUGGGCGAAAGCCUGAUCCAGCCAUGCCGCGUGUGUGAAGAAGGUCUUCGGAUUGUAAAGCACUUUAAGUUGGGAGGAAGGGCAGUAAAUUAAUACUUUGCUGUUUUGACGUUACCGACAGAAUAAGCACCGGCUAACUCUGUGCCAGCAGCCGCGGUAAUACAGAGGGUGCAAGCGUUAAUCGGAAUUACUGGGCGUAAGCGCGCGUAGGUGGUUUGUUAAGUUGGAUGUGAAA